AAUAAUAUUUAUUGUCAGGAGAUUUCCCCCUCCCGCCACAUCUCUUACCUCCGGAGCUUUUACACUUUUCGCUUAGCUGGAGGGAAUGUGGAACUGAGAUUUGGCCCUGGAUAUAAUCUCCCCGUCUCUUUCCCUCUCCCUCUCUCUCCCUCUCCCUCUUUCUGUAUAGAUCUGGCACGGCUUUGCUCUCUUAACUCCCAGAUCUUUGUUUCGGUGGUGGCGGCCAGAAAGAGCAAGAGAGCGCUGUGCUCUCAACUUCCCUCUGGCUUCCUUUAAAAACAACAACACACAAGUCCUCUUCCAACUUUUCCUCCAGUUAUUCACUUCUCAACCCUACUGACAGCAUUUGCCGAAAAUCUACACUCCAGCUUUGGUGAAUAGCUGAACCCAAGAACAGGGCAAGCAGUCACUUCGGCCAGCUUGCAUAAAGUUGGUUGUCCAACCUUACAGAGCCAUGUCUUACAGAAGCACAACACGCCUCCACUGGAAUUCAGGCAUUUAAUGUCACCAGCCCCAUGUUGUGGGACAUUCUUUCAGCAGAGAUUUGACAGGCUUGCUAGCUUUUCGCCUUUCGUGCUUUGAAGAUCUUUUAAUGCCAACUAGCCUGUGCCAUUGUUUAAAAUGUUCUUGAGUAGCCAAUCAUCUUAACGAUUGUGCUCUACUGCUUUUAAUGGUUUCUAAAAUGUGCUUUGUAUUGCUUUGCACUGCCCUGAUAUGUGUGAGAGUGCUGCAUAUAAAUACAAAUGGAAUAAAGGAAAACAUCGGGACAUAGCA